UCAGACAAAUAGCAAGAUACCAUGUAUGCCUGUUGUGUCAUGUGUUGCUCAGUAGGUAGCAGAGAAGAGAGAAAUGAUGCCCACACUCAGUAUUCUGACCAAUGAACAUCUGAAUGAUUAGUAGCCUAACAUU